GCCUUAGUACGGCGAGUGAGCGGCAAAAGCUCAAAUUUGAAAUCUGGCACCUUCGGUGUCCGAGUUGUAAUUUGAAGAAGGUAACUUUGGAGUUGGCUCUUGUCUAUGUUCCUUGGAACAGGACGUCACAGAGGGUGAGAAUCCCGUGCGAUGAGAUGCCCAAUUCUAUGUAAAGUGCUUUCGAAGAGUCGAGUUGUUUGGGAAUGCAGCUCUAAGUGGGUGGUAAAUUCCAUCUAAAGCUAAAUAUUGGCGAGAGACCGAUAGCGAACAAGUACAGUGAUGGAAAGAUGAAAAGAACUUUGAAAAGAGAGUGAAAAAGUACGUGAAAUUGUUGAAAGGGAAGGGCUUGAGAUCAGACUUGGUAUUUUGCGAUCCUUUCCUUCUUGGUUGGGUUCCUCGCAGCUUACUGGGCCAGCAUCGGUUUGGAUGGUAGGAUAAUGACUAAGGAAUGUGGCUCUACUUCGGUGGAGUGUUAUAGCCUUGGUUGAUACUGCCUGUCUAGACCGAGGACUGCGUCUUUUGACUAGGAUGUUGGCAUAAUGAUCUUAAGCCACCCGUCUUGA
rnacentral:rRNA from 1 species